rnacentral:rRNA from 1 species
GUGGGGAAUCUUCCGCAAUGGACGAAAGUCUGACGGAGCAACGCCGCGUGAGUGAAGAAGGUUUUCGGAUCGUAAAGCUCUUUCGUUAGGGACGAACGUGCUCUUUGUGAAUAAUGAGGAGUAAUGACGGUACCUAAAUAAGAAGCCACGGCUAACUACGUGCCAGCAGCCGCGGUAAUACGUAGGUGGCAAGCGUUGUCCGGAAUUAUUAGGCGUAAAGCGCGCGCAGGCGGGAUAUCAAGUCUGUCUUAAAAGUGCGAGGCUCAACCUCGUGAGGGGACAGAAACUGGUAUUCUUGAGUGUCGGAGAGGAAAGUGGAAUUCCAAGUGUAGCGGUGAAAUGCGUAGAGAUUUGGAAGAACACCAGUGGCGAAGGCGACUUUCUGGACGAUGUCUGACGCUGAGGCGCGAAAGCUAGGGGAGCGAACGGGAUUAGAUACCCCAGUAGUCC